rnacentral:tRNA from 1 species
GCCUCAGUAGCUCAGUUGGUAGAGCGUUACAUUGGUAAUGUAGAGGUCCUGGGUUCAAUCCCCAGCUGAGGCU